GUAAAUCGUACAUGAUUUUUAUCUGUGUUUAAGGUGACCAGCAAUUCAAGAUUGCUGUUGAUGGGUUACUUGUCAAUGACCACAUCACCUCUCCCAUUGUGGCCUUGAGCUACGUCUUCUCCAUGUUUUAUGUCUGCAACGUCCAAUACCCACCGGAGAUGGCUUUUACUCUCGAAUUCAUGCAAAGAGUUUUCUUUGGGGUCAAUCCUGAGCGAGGCUCCAAGGCAGAGAAGAAGGGGAAGAAACGGCACUUCAUACCUCCACAGGUGUGCAAGCUGGUUUCUCAGCUGAAGGAAUUUGAAUGCAAGCAGAAGGAAUCUGAAUGGGCCAUUUGAGCUGUUCUCAGAGCUCAGAAAAUACCUUUUUGGACUGAAUGUACACACACACACACACACACACACACACACACACACACACACACACACACACACACACACACACA